AUACGUAGGGGGCAAGCGUUGUCCGGAAUUACUGGGCGUAAAGCGCACGCAGGCUGACUUAUAAGUCGGUAGUCUAAUGCGGAGGCUCAACUUCCGUUUAUCUAUCGAUACUGUAAGACUAGAGUAUGUGAGAGGGAAGUGGAAUUCCCGGUGUAGCGGUGAAAUGCGUAGAUAUCGGGAGGAAUACCAGUGGCGAAGGCGACUUCCUGGCACAAUACUGACGCGCAUGUGCGAAAGCUAGGGUAGCGAACGGGAUUAGAUACCCCGGUAGUCCUAGCCGUAAACGAUGGAUACUAGGUGUGGGUGUCGCAGGGCAUCCGUGCCGCAGCUAACGCGUUAAGUAUCCCGCCUGGGGACUACGGUCGCAAGACUGAAACUCAAAUGAAUUGACGGGG
rnacentral:rRNA from 1 species